CUCGCCCGGAGUUCGAGUGUCAUCUACAAUCCGAAGAACUACUUUCGAGCACUCCGUCCGCAGCGCAACGUGUACUCAAACCCGCAAAAAAUCAUUUUCGUGGACCUCUUCACCGACGAAUACCAUGCCCCCGGGCCAUCAGACGCCUGAAUAAAGUUCAUCGUGUGACCUAGUGUUAAAAUUCCUGUGAUUUUGUGGACUUUUUACUGUGCAAAUUUUGAUUAUUAACAAUGCCUUGUUCGGCAGUUACUUUAAGUUUGGCGACUAUUACCUCCAUCAUAGCUGUCGCUCUUCUUGCUAUUGCGUUUACUACGGAUAAUUGGUUGUAUAUCGAAGUAAAGAGGACAGCAAUUCAGAAUUAUCUAAGUAAACAUUCAGAUCCACAAAGCCAGGCGUUGUUAGAAAAUGUGAAUUCAAAAUAUUACUACUACACGAGAACAAAAGGAUUAUUCAGGAUAUGUUACCCAAAAGAAAGGCCGCCUACUGUAAAGACAUACUUGAGUCCUUUGGAAACGCAUUGUAACAAUGUAAAUUACUACAUUCCCGAUGAAAAUAACGAUACCAAGGACUUCACUGACGAUGCUUGGACAAGAUUACAUAUGGGACGAUCCAUGAUAGCUCUCUUUAUCAUAUCGUUCAUAGCUGUCUUUGCUGCCUUCUGCACCGGGGUCACUGGAUGUUGGAAGAGGUCUCCAGGAAAUAUUACAGCCACUGCAAUACUUAUGCUGCUAGCAUGUUUGUUGAGUGCUGGUGCUAUGGGUCUAUGGCACGGAGUGGAAUAUUACGAAAAAGAAAAACAAGUAGGUGAAGAAUUUUACCAACAGUGGAAUACUAUACUCCAAGAAAACACAGACGUGACGUACGAAUGGAGUUUCAUCCUGAGCUGGCUCGGAGUCUUCAGCUCCUUGGGCGCGUCGCUGCUCUUCUUCUUCGCGUCGUGCUGCAUGGGUAACGAGAAAGAGAAAGAAGACCUCAACAAUAUUCAGUACCUGAUGCCAGUGUACCCACAGAAACAGCAAUACGCAUACGGAGGCUACCCUGUUCCUCAACCCUACGCAGGACCGUACUACACCACCGGCUCAGCGUACGGACCCUACAACUACUGACACACUCGAAAAAAAUCGCUAGAAAACAAACGAACAACUUGAAGAGACUGAUGUCUUCGAAUUACCUGUUUUGUACUUAAAUACACAAUUUAAAUACAAAAUAUUUUUGAUAUUUACGAUCAUAUUGUUACAACGAAACUUUUGCGAAUGGUCGAUAGUAAAUAUAGUCCUUGUUGCAACCAAUGUAAGAAAUUCUAAACGUUCAUUACUAUAUUCAGGUUGAAUUUUUGUCUCAGGUUAACGCAAUAUAGGUAAAAUUACUAUUUAUUUGCAAAAUUUUCUGGUAUAGCUGCCAUCAAAUUAUUGCGGAAACCUUACCUUAAGCUUAUUGCAAAGUCAUUUGUAUUUGAAUGGUGUAGUUAAGUUAGUACAGGUAGAAAGUAAUAAAUGAUAAUAUAUUGUACGUUUAAUUAUUAUACCUGCUAUUUAGUAUGUUUACCUCUCAAAACUUAACGAUACCACUCAAAUACAAAUGACUUUGUAAUAAGCUUAAGAAAAGGUUUUCUGCAAUAAUUUUUUGGUAACCAUACAGUAAAAUGCUCAGGGUAAAUGUUAUUUUACCGUCUAGUGUAAUUCUUUUAAUACGAUCUAUUAAGUGUUUUUGUUAAUAGUUAAUUAUGUAGACAAUACAACAGUAGAUACUGGCUAAUAUUCGGAGGGAUUUCAGUACUGCCAAUAUUUUUAUUGAUUUAUUUAAUGUAAUUCACUGUAUAUCUACUUAAACGAGAGAAAUGUCAAACUACGAUCUUUAUCCGAAUAGAUCAUCAUCAAAUAUUUGCUUGUCCAAGGCUGGACAUAGAUCUCCCUCAUAAUUCUCCAUCUGUUUCGAUCUUGUGCCUCUUGGCACAGUUGGCAAAGUUUUAGAUCAUCAGUUCAACGUGUUGGUGGACGGCCUUUGCUUCGGUAGGCAUCAUAUCUCUUUGGUCUCCAUUGCAGUAUCCGCUUUGUCCAUCUGUUAUCUAUCAUUCGAGCCACGUGACCUGCCCAGUCCCAUUUCAGUGUUGCUAUUCUCUCUACAGCAUCGGCAACUCCCGAUCUUCGUCACAGCUAGAGGUUUGGGAUCUUGUCUCGCAGUAAAACGCACAACAUAACAAGCCAAUUGAGCCACACGGAUCUUUUGCACUGUUCUCCCUUUCAUGGUCAAUGUUUCCGCUUCGUAAGUAAACAUUGGCAAAACACACUGAUUAAAGGUUUUUCUUUUAACGACAUAUUAGUAUGUCGGACGAUUUCAAAAUGAGGUUCAACUUGCCGAAGGCUGCCCAAGUCAGUUUUAUAUGAGGGUUGAAGCUCAACGGUUUGGUUAUCUUUUCUUAUGCGAAUCUCGUGACCUAGGUAUUUCUAGUGUAUUACCUGGUCUAUAAAAAUACAGUUUCCUCCACUAAUUUUAUACAUUGGAUAAAUGAUAUAUGAACAUUUAUCUACUCGAAAAAUUCUGAAUAUUAGCAAUGUGUCUAGAUAUUUGAUUAUUUUAUUUUUUCAAAAUAAAAUAAGCUAAUGACAGUGAUGUUGUCCAGCCAAUAUAAAAUUAGAAUCAUUAUGAGUACUUAUUUUGUCUUUCUUCUAAAUACAUUAGUUCAGAAUCACUCACAACUUGCUACAAAGCAGUAAAGAUUUGCUGUAAUGUGAUAUUUAAUGUGUUUUUGUUUAUUUUGAAAAAAUAAUUUUUAAUGUUAUAUUGAUGCCAUCAUAUUCGAUAUCACCUUUAAAACCCAGUAAUUCAAGUUUUUGGUGCAUUUAUAACAUCCCAGUGUCUCCUUUCGAUAUCACCUUUGAAACCCAGUAAUUCAAGUUUUUGGUGCAUUUAUAAGAUCCCAGUUAAUGUGUUUUUUUUUUAUUUUGAAAAAAUAAUUUUUAAUGUUAUAUUGAUGCCAUCAUAUUCGAUAUCACCUUUAAAACCCAGUAAUUCAAGUUUUUGGUGCAUUUAUAAGAUCCCAGUGUCUGUUAGGGCUGGAUUUCGCGUACCAAAAAAAAGUUUAUUAAUAGCAAGCUGAAAAUUUUUGAAGUUAUACUUCUUUACGAUCGAGAGUGAAAUUUUAUAAUGCCGGGGGCAUGCGCACACAGACAUUAUGUAGUUCGUUGCUAAUCUUUCAAAUUAUGUAUGUAUCAGCGCAAAUAAGUCAUUAAAAGGAUAUAUUAGUGUUUUUAGUAAAUGUAUUAUUUAUUAUAAUUUUUGUGUCUUUGGAUUUGUCUUCCUCGGGAAUAAGAUGUUUUAUAAUAAUAAUAAGUAUAUUUAAAGUAUUUUUGUAUACUUCACUUGGUCUAUUAAAUUUGUCAGUAUGUAUGAGAAAUCUUGUAACCUGUCAAAGCAAAGGGAAUAUAGCUCAGUGGUAGAGCAUAAAAAGAAAACAGCAAACUUUAUAUAGUAUAUAAAAAAAUGUUUGUCCGACAAGUAUGUUGGGCAUUUUAAUAAGUCCGACACGUAGAACAUGUCAAAUGACAGGAAUUAUGUUGGUGGUAAAUAGCAGUCUGAUUUUUGUAUGAGACUUUAAUGAAAGGGUAACAAAUCAACUGGAAGUUCUGUCCGACAAAAUACAUGGGACGGUUUCGUUCCACAAUUUUCGUAAUCUGUUCCACAAUUAAAACUUCCCCUGUUACAGUGUUUCCGUACAUCAAAGUUUGUCCGACUAGACGGGGUUAAGUUAUUAACAAAUUUUGAGCUUGCUAUUAAUCAACCUUUUUUGGUACGCGGAAUUCAGGCCUAUAUUCCAUACAUUUAACUUACUAAAACAUACAAAAUAUAAAAAUAAUUCUUCAAUAAUUCCAGUACAUGUCUAAAAAAUUGUUUUACUACAAACAUCACCAAUGGUUUAAUUGAUCUAACCAAGUGGUUUUUAUUUUAAGUGCAAUUUAAAGAAAAUUCUUAUUUUCAACAAUCAGAAGUACAGGUUCAGAAUAUACUUUCAAACCAACGUUACUUUUACUAUUCUACUUCUUCGUAUGUUUUAAAUAUAUCUUGUCUUUGCCUUAGCCAUUUACACCUUUUUGGACCAUACUGUACUGUACACCUUAUUGGACUAUAUUGUCCAAUAACAGUGAAGCAUACUUAUAGUUCAAACUCAAGGACUCUUAGUGUGACAGACUGUAAUAUUGUGACGAAUAAGGCACAUGCGCUAUAUUUCUGCGCAGAUGUACAGCGCAAGUACAUCCAGCAAGGUAGUGACAGCUGGCAGUAGCCUGUUCAAGGUAAUACUUCUGAGCUUAUCUGUAACGUUAAGCUACUCUCUACCUAAAUAGAGAGAUGAUACUGCUUCUCUGAGAUUUUCCAUAGAAAUUGAUUAACAGAUGGUGUAUUACAUAAUUUUAUUAUAAGUUUUAUUUUAAACACCAAACUGAUAUGUUGUGACUAUGUAACUCAAAUUUUUAUGUGCGUUAAGGCCUUAAGCAAGCAAAAUAUACGAUAACGUUAUUGAAGUAAAUUUUUACGAACCUGGUAACGUAAAUUAUUAUAAUUAUUAUUAAUAUGUAAACAUUUUGUAUAUAUAUUUUACUAGAAUUAAGUAUAGGUAAUCUACAACCUUAAGAUAUUGUAUAAAAGUGACUGUACUCUGUCGUGAAGUAGGUAUAUACAACGAACAAUUCUAUACAAUGAUUAACAAUAGUUAUUUAUAUAUUUUUUAUAUGUCUUUAUAAAAUAUUUUUAACAAUUUAGGUAAUAAUAAAUAAAAUAAUGUUUUGAUAA
rnacentral:misc_RNA from 1 species